CCUACGGGGGGCUGCAGUGGGGAAUAUUGCACAAUGGAGGAAACUCUGAUGCAGCGACGCCGCGUGAACGAUGAAGGCUUUCGGGUCGUAAAGUUCUGUCCUUGGGGACGAUAAUGACGGUACCCAAGGAGGAAGCCCCGGCUAACUACGUGCCAGCAGCCGCGGUAAUACGUAGGGGGCAAGCGUUGUCCGGAUUUAUUGGGCGUAAAGGGUUCGCAGGUGGCCUUUUAAGUCAGAUGUGAAAGAUCAAGGCUUAACCUUGGUAAGCAUUUGAAACUGAAAGGCUUGAGUUAAGGAGAGGAAAGUGGAAUUCCUAGUGUAGCGGUGAAAUGCGUAGAUAUUAGGAGGAAUACCAGUGGCGAAGGCGACUUUCUGGACUUAUACUGACACUGAGGAACGAAAGCAUGGGGAGCAAACAGGCUUAGAUACCCCAGUAGUC
rnacentral:rRNA from 1 species